rnacentral:rRNA from 1 species
CCAAUAGCGUAUAUUAAAGUUGUUGCAGUUAAAAAGCUCGAAGUUGAAUUUCGGGAUCAAGGAAUCGGUCAUGCCUUGGUAUGUACUGGUUUUAUUGGUUCUCACCUUCUAAAGAACCAUAAUGUCAUUCAUUUGAUGUUAUGGGGAAUUAGGACUGUUACCUUGAAAAAAUUAGAGUGUUUAAAGCAGGCUUACGCUUGAAUACAUUAGCAUGGAAUAAUGAAAUAGGACAUCCGAUUCUAUUUUGUUGGUUUCUAGGAUCGAUGUAAUGAUUAAUAGGGAGAGUUGGGGGAAUUAGUAUUAAAUUGUCAGAGGUGAAAUUCUUGGAUUUAUUGAAGACUAACUACUGCGAAAGCAUUUGCCAAGGAUGUUUUCAUUAAUCAAGGACGAAAGUUAGGGGAUCGAAGACGAUCAGAUACCGUCGUAGUCUUAACCAUGAACUAUGCCGACUAGGGAUCGGAUGAUGUUUAUUUUUUAGUGACUCAUUCGGCACCUUACG